CUCCGUCACCAGGAAGAUGACAUCGUGCGCAUCCCGCUCGGGGACUGGGAUCUGGCUCAGGAGGUUGGAUGCGUCCAGCAGUGAGCUGAGUCGAGCGCUGGGGACACUUUGCCUCGAAUGAUAUCAGCACCAGCAGGAUGAAGGAGUCGGAGAUGGUGGUGGGAGCAACCACUCGGAAGCGGAUGGCAUCCUGGGCGAGCCAGAAGGGCUUCUGCGGCAUCUCGUGCUGGUAGAAAACCAUCCCAGCGUCCACCUAGGAGGGAGAACAUCUCACUGAUUUCAGCUCAAUGGCAAAAUAAAGUCUGGGGAGGGGGCUGUGA